rnacentral:tRNA from 1 species
GGGGGUACAGCUCAGUGGUAGAGCACAUACUUGGCCUGCACUAGGUCCUGGGUUCAAUCCCCAGUGCCUCUG